GACGAACGCUGGCGGCGUGCUUAACACAUGCAAGUCGAACGGAAAGGCCCUGCUUUUGUGGGGUGCUCGAGUGGCGAACGGGUGAGUAACACGUGAGUAACCUGCCCUUGACUUUGGGAUAACUUCAGGAAACUGGGGCUAAUACCGGAUAGGAGCUCCUGCUGCAUGGUGGGGGUUGGAAAGUUUCGGCGGUUGGGGAUGGACUCGCGGCUUAUCAGCUUGUUGGUGGGGUAGUGGCUUACCAAGGCUUUGACGGGUAGCCGGCCUGAGAGGGUGACCGGCCAAAUUGGGACUGAGAUACGGCCCAGAAUCCUACGGGAGGCAGCAGUGGGGAAUAAUGCACAAUGGGCGGAAGCCUGAUGCAGGCACGCCGCGGGCGGGAUGACGGCCUUCGGGUUGUAAACCGCUUUCGUCUGGGACGAAGCGUGAGUGAAGGUAAUGGGUAAAGAAGCAACGGCUAACUACGUG
rnacentral:rRNA from 1 species